UACGUAGGGGGCAAGCGUUGUCCGGAAUUAUUGGGCGUAAAGCGCGUGUAGGCGGCCAGAUAAGUCCGCUGUGAAAUCUCGAGGCUCAACUUCGAGCUGUCGGUGGAAACUGUCUGGCUAGAGUCCGGAAGAGGAGAAUGGAAUUCCUGGUGUAGCGGUGAAAUGCGCAGAUAUCAGGAAGAACACCCGUGGCGAAGGCGGUUCUCUGGGACGGUACUGACGCUGAGAAGCGAAAGCAUGGGGAGCGAACAGG
rnacentral:rRNA from 1 species